rnacentral:rRNA from 1 species
AACGAACGCUGGCGGCGCGCCUAACACAUGCAAGUCGAACGAGAAUCCGGGGCAACCCGGUAGUAAAGUGGCAAACGGGUGAGGAAUACAUGGGUAACCUACCCUUGAGAAGGGAAUAACCCGCCGAAAGGUGAGCUAAUACCCUAUACGCUAUCUUUUUUUCGAAAAGGAUAGGAAAGCCGGGUCGAGGACCUGGUACUCAAGGAGGGGCUCAUGUCCUAUCAACUUGUUGGUGGGGUAACGGCCUACCAAGGCUACGACGGGUAGCUGGUCUGAGAGGAUGAUCAGCCACACUGGCACUGAGAUACGGGCCAGACUCCUACGGGAGGCAGCAGUGAGGAAUAUUGCGCAAUGGGCGAAAGCCUGACGCAGCGACGCCGCGUGGGGGAUGAAGGUUUUCGGAUUGUAAACCCCUUUCAUGAGGAAAGAUAAAGUGGGUAACCACUUAGACGGUACCUCAAGAAGAAGCCACGGCUAACUUCGUG